rnacentral:rRNA from 1 species
GCGCAGCAGGCGAGAAAACUUUGCAAUACACGAAAGUGUGACAGGGUCAUCCCGAGUGCCAUCCGCUGAGGAAGGCUUUUACCCAGUCUAGAACGCUGGGGGAAUAAGGAGAGGGCAAGUCUGGUGUCAGCCGCCGCGGUAAUACCAGCUCUCCGAGUGGUGUGGAUGUUUAUUGGGCCUAAAGCAUCCGUAGCUGGCUGAGUUAGUCCCUUGUUAAAUCCACCGAAUUAAUCGUUGGAUUGCGGGGGAUACUGCUCGGCUAGGGGACGAGAGAGGCAGACGGUAUUUCUGGGGUAGGGGUGAAAUCCUAUAAUCCCAGGAGGACCACCAGUGGCGAAGGCUGUCUGCUAGAACGCGCCCGACGGUGAGGGAUGAAAGCUGGGGGAGCGAACCGGAUUAGAUACCCGGGUAGUCCCAGCUGUAAACGAUGCAGACUAGGUGUUUGGACGGCCACGUGCCGUUCUAGUGCCGCAGGGAAGCUGUUAAGUCUGCCGCCUGGGGAGUACGAUCGCAAGAUUGAAACUUAAAGGAAUUGGCGGGGGAGCAC